GACGAACGCUGGCGGCGUGCCUAAUACAUGCAAGUAGAACGCAGUUGCGAACGGGUGAGUAACGCGUAGGUAACUGCCUCAUAGGGUGGGAUAACUAUUGGAAACGUUAGCUAAUACCGCAUACUGUGAGAUGGACAUGCGGUGUAUUAGCUAGUUGGUGAGGUAAAGGCUCACCAAGGCGACGAUACCUAGGCGACCUGGGAGGGAGAGCCGGCAAACUGGGAAUUGUGAACGGGCCAGGCUCCUACGGGAGGCAGCAGGAGGGAAUCUUCGGCAAUGGACGGAAGGCUGACCGCGGAACGCCGGGUGGGUGAAGAAGGUUUUCGGAUCGUAAAAGUCUGUUGUUAUAGAAGCGGUAACUACCCAGAAAGGGACGGCUAACUACGUGCCAGCAGCCGCGGUAAUUC
rnacentral:rRNA from 1 species